GAUGAAGAACGUAGCGAAAUGCGAUACGUAGUGUGAAUUGCAGAAUUCAGUGAAUCAUCAAAUCUUUGAACGCACAUUGCACCUCUCGGUAUUCCGGGAGGUAUGCCUGUUCGAGCGUCAUUUGUACCCUCAAGCUCUGCUUGGUGUUGGGUGUUUGUUCCGCCUCUGUGUGUGAACUCGCCUCAAAACAAUUGGCAGCCGGCGUACUUGUUUCGGAGCGCAGCACAUUUUGCGAUCCAGAUCAACGUACAGCGGCAUCCAAGAAGCCUUAUUUAACGCUCUUGACCUCGGAUCAGGUAGGGAUACCCGCUGAACUUAAGCAUAUCAAUAAGCGGAGGA
rnacentral:misc_RNA from 1 species